rnacentral:rRNA from 1 species
UACGGAGGAUCCGAGCGUUAUCCGGAUUUAUUGGGUUUAAAGGGAGCGUAGGUGGAUUGUUAAGUCAGUUGUGAAAGUUUGCGGCUCAACCGUAAAAUUGCAGUUGAAACUGGCAGUCUUGAGUACAGUAGAGGUGGGCGGAAUUCGUGGUGUAGCGGUGAAAUGCGUAGAUAUCGAGAGGAACACUCGUGGCGAAGGCGGGUUCCUGGACAUUAACUGACGCUGAGGCACGAAGGCCAGGGGAGCGAAAGGG